CCUACGGGAGGCAGCAGUGAGGAAUAUUGGUCAAUGGGCGAGAGCCUGAACCAGCCAAGUCGCGUGAGGGAGUACUGCCCUAUGGGUUGUAAACCUCUUUUGUCGGGGAGCAAAAGCCGUACGUUUCCGGCUGUGAGAGUACCCGAAGAAAAAGCAUCGGCUAACUCCGUGCCAGCAGCCGCGGUCAUACGUAGGAUCCGAGCAUUAUCCGGAGUGACUGGGUGUAAAGAGUUGCGUAGGUGGCAUAGUAAGUAGCUAGUGAAAUCUGGUGGCUCAACCAUUCAGACUAUUAGCUAAACUGCUAAGCUCGAGACCGUUAGGGGUAACUGGAAUUUCUAGUGUAGGAGUGAAAUCCGUAGAUAUUAGAAGGAACACCGAUAGCGUAGGCAGGUUACUGGGACGGUUCUGACACUAAGGCACGAAAGCGUAGGGAGCAAACGGGAUUAGAUACCCCAGUAGUC
rnacentral:rRNA from 1 species